CCUACGGGGAGCAGCAGUGGGGAAUAUUGGACAAUGGGCGAAAGCCUGAUCCAGCCAUGCCGCGUGUGUGAAGAAGGCCUUCGGGUUGUAAAGCACUUUCAGUGGGGAAGAAAGCCUUGGGGCUAAUACCCUCGAGGAAGGACAUCACCCACAGAAGAAGCACCGGCUAACUCCGUGCCAGCAGCCGCGGUAAUACGGAGGGUGCGAGCGUUAAUCGGAAUUACUGGGCGUAAAGCGCGCGUAGGCGGUCUGAUAAGCCGGUUGUGAAAGCCCCGGGCUCAACCUGGGAACGGCAUCCGGAACUGUCAGGCUAGAGUGCAGGAGAGGAAGGUAGAAUUCCCGGUGUAGCGGUGAAAUGCGUAGAGAUCGGGAGGAAUACCAGUGGCGAAGGCGGUCUUCUGGACUGACACUGACGCUGAGGUGCGAAAGCGUGGGUAGCAAACAGGAUUAGAUACCCCGGUAGUC
rnacentral:rRNA from 1 species